UACGUAGGGUGCGAGCGUUAAUCGGAAUUACUGGGCGUAAAGCGUGCGCAGGCGGUUUUGUAAGCCAGAUGUGAAAUCCCCGGGCUUAACCUGGGAAUGGCAUUUGGGACUGCAAGGCUGGAGUGCGGCAGAGGAGACUGGAAUUCCUGGUGUAGCAGUGAAAUGCGUAGAUAUCAGGAGGAAUACCGAUGGCGAAGGCAGGUCUCUGGGCCGAAACUGACGCUGAGGAGCGAAAGCGUGGGGAGCAAACAGG
rnacentral:rRNA from 1 species